GAUGAACGCUGGCGGCGUGCUUAACACAUGCAAGUCGAACGGAAAGGCCCAAGCUUGCUUGGGUCCUCGAGUGGCGAACGGGUGAGUAACACGUGGGUGAUCUGCCCUGCACUUCGGGAUAAGCCUGGGAAACUGGGUCUAAUACCGGAUAGGACGAUGGUUUGGAUGCCAUUGUGUAAAGUUUUUUCGGUGUGGGAUGAGCUCGCGGCCUAUCAGCUUGUUGGUGGGGUAAUGGCCUACCAAGGCGUCUACGGGUAGCCGGCCUGAGAGGGUGUACGGCCACAUUGGGACUGAGAUACGGCCCAGACUCCUACGGGAGGCAGCAGUGGGGAAUAUUGCACAAUGGGCGCAAGCCUGAUGCAGCGACGCCGCGUGGGGGAUGACGGCCUUCGGGUUGUAAACUCCUGUCGCUAGGGACGAAGCGUUUUUGUGACGGUACCUGGAGAAGAAGCACCGGCUAACUACGUG
rnacentral:rRNA from 1 species